GAUGAAGAACGCAGCGAAAUGCGAUAAGUAAUGUGAAUUGCAGAAUUCAGUGAAUCAUCGAGUCUUUGAACGCACAUUGCGCCCCCUGGUAUUCCGGGGGGCAUGCCUGUCCGAGCGUCAUUGCUGCCCUCAAGGACGGCUUGUGUGUUGGGCCGUCGUCCCCCUCCUAGGGGACAGGCCCGAAAGGCAGCGGCGGCACCGCGUCCGGUCCUCGAGCGUAUGGGGCUUCGUCACCCGCUCCGUAGGCCCGGCCGGCGCUUGCCGACGACCAUCAAUCUCUUUCUCCAGGUUGACCUCGGAUCAGGUAGGGAUACCCGCUGAACUUAAGCAUAUCAAUAAGCGGAGGA
rnacentral:misc_RNA from 1 species